GAUGAACGCUAGCGGAAGGCUUAAUACAUGCAAGUCGAGCGGUAGAUAAGACUUCGGUUUUAUUGAGAGCGGCGCACGGGUGAGUAACGCGUACAUGACCUACCCUUAAGAAAGGAAUAGCCCUGGGAAACUGGGAUUAAUGCCUUAUAGUAUUACUGAUGUUAGAGAUUGGUAAUUAAAGUUUCGGCGCUUAAGGAUGGAUGUGCGUCUGAUUAGCUAGUUGGUAAGGUAACGGCUUACCAAGGCGACGAUCAGUAGGGGGCGUGAGAGCGUGAUCCCCCACACGGGUACUGAGACACGGACCCGACUCCUACGGGAGGCAGCAGUAAGGAAUAUUGGACAAUGGGGGCAACCCUGAUCCAGCCAUUCCGCGUGCAGGAUGACUGCCCUAUGGGUUGUAAACUGCUUUUAGAUAGGAAGAAAGUGCGACAUUUAUGUUGUUUUGACGGUACUAUCAGAAUAAGGACCGGCUAACUCCG
rnacentral:rRNA from 1 species